rnacentral:rRNA from 1 species
UACGGGGGGUGCAAGCGUUAAUCGGAAUGACUGGGCGUAAAGGGUGCGUAGGUGGUUUAUUAAGUUAUUUGUGAAAUCCCUGGGCUCAACCUAGGCAGGUCAGAUAAGACUGAUAGACUUAAGAGUAUAGGAGAGGGUAUUGGAAUUUCCGGUGUAGCGGUGAAAUGCGUAGAGAUCGGAAGGAACACCAGUGGCGCAGGCGAGUACCUGGCCUAAUACUGACACUGAGGCACGAAAGCGUGGGGAGCAA